rnacentral:rRNA from 1 species
GACGAACGCUGGCGGCGUGCUUAACACAUGCAAGUCGAACGGAAAGGCCCUGCUUUUGUGGGGUGCUCGAGUGGCGAACGGGUGAGUAACACGUGAGUAACCUGCCCAUGACUUUGGGAUAACUUCAGGAAACUGGGGCUAAUACCGGAUAGGAGCUCCUGCUGCAUGGUGGGGGUUGGAAAGUUUCGGCGGUUGGGGAUGGACUCGCGGCUUAUCAGCUUGUGGGUGGGGUAGUGGCUUACCAAGGCUUUGACGGGUAGCCGGCCUGAGAGGGUGACCGGCCACAUUGGGACUGAGAUACGGCCCAGACUCCUACGGGAGGCAGCAGUGGGGAAUAUUGCACAAUGGGCGGAAGCCUGAUGCAGCAACGCCGCGUGCGGGAUGACGGCCUUCGGGUUGUAAACCGCUUUCGCCUGUGACGAAGCGUGAGUGACGGUAAUGGGUAAAGAAGCACCGGCUAACUACGUG